CCUACGGGUGGCAGCAGUGGGGAAUAUUGCGCAAUGGGCGAAAGCCUGACGCAGCGACGCCGCGUGAGGGAUGAAGGUCUUCGGAUCGUAAACCUCUGUCAGCAGGGAAGAACGGUCACUGUGCUAAUCAGCAGUGAAUUGACGGUACCUGCAAAGGAAGCACCGGCUAACUCCGUGCCAGCAGCCGCGGUAAUACGGAGGGUGCGAGCGUUAAUCGGAAUUACUGGGCGUAAAGCGCUCGUAGGCGGUAUGUCAAGUCAAGGGUGAAAUCCCCGCGCUCAACGUGGGAACUGCCUUUGAAACUGGCAAACUGGAGUGUGUGAGAGGAUAGUGAAAUUCCAGGUGUAGGAGUGAAAUGCGUAGAUAUCUGGAGGAACAUCAGGGGCGAAGGCGACUAUCUGGCACAUAACUGACGCUGAGGAGCGAAAGCGUGGGUAGCAAACAGGAUUAGAUACCCUUGUAGUC
rnacentral:rRNA from 1 species